rnacentral:rRNA from 1 species
UAGGGAAUCUUCGUCAAUGGGGGGAACCCUGACCGAGCAACGAUGCGUGAGUGAUGAAGGUUUUCGGCUGGUAGAGCUCUGCUGUUAAGGAAGAACGAGUGUGAGAAUGGAAAGUUCAUGCUGUGACGGUACUUAACCAGAAAGGGACGGCUAACUACGUGCCAGCAGCCGCGGUAAUACGUAGGUCCCGAGCGUUGUCCGGAUUUAUUGGGCGUAAAGCGAGCGCAGGCGGUUAGAAAAGUCUGAAGUUAAAGGCAGUGGCUCAACAAUUGUAGGCUUUGGAAACUGUUUAACUUGAGUUCAGAGGGGGGUAGUGGACUUCCAUGUGUAGCGGUGAAAUACGUAGAUAGAUGGAGGAACACCAGGAACGAAGGCGACUCUCUGGUCAGUAACUGACGCUGAGGUACGAAAGCGUGGGUAGCAAACAGG